GAAGAAUAUACAUUCUGGCGAUUUGUAUCCAAAGACUAAUUUAAAUUGCAUCCAAAAUAAAAAUAGGAUUAUGAGUACAGAGUCGCGAAGCAUAAUUUUGCAUUGGAUUAAGUAUUCCAAUUUUGAAAAUAUGAGUAAAGGAUCUAUGGAUGAAGAUACAAAAAAGUUGAUUUCCAAUCGUAACUAAAUCUUCUUAAAAUAAGGAAUAAGGAAGCCAAAUAGCUAAAAAACGAUAGUUUUGGUUUACUAGAACCAUCCGCAUAUUGUUUCAGCUCGGUGGAAACCCAAUUCUUUUCCUCAGGAUCUCUUGAAUGAAAUUAGGGAACGAAGUAAGUAGAUUAGAUGGAUUUCGAUAGAAUUUCUAUCUCCUACUCUAUAAGGAUCAUCUAGAAAGCGGAGAGCUUUGGUUCCAUUCAAAUAGAAAAGCUGACAUGGAUGUUAAGUGGUGAGAAUAUCCAUAAAGGAGCCGAG
rnacentral:rRNA from 1 species